AGCUGAGUGGCGCAGCGGAAGCGCGUAAGUUCACACAAACAAAAUUCUCCACUUAGUCAUCAAUACUGACAAUCUUCACAGGCCGGGCUCAUAACCCGGAGGGCCUCGGAUCGAAACCGAGCUUAGCUA